rnacentral:rRNA from 1 species
CCUUAUAGACAGGGACAACUAUUGGAAACGAUAGCUAAUACCUGAUAAGAAAGAAACUCGCAUGAGAGAAGUUCGAAAGUCGGAGCAAUCUGACACUAUAAGAUGGCUUUGCGGUGCAUUAGCUAGUUGGUAGGGUAAAAGCCUACCAAGGCGACGAUGCAUAGCCGACCUGAGAGGGUGAUCGGCCACAUUGGGACUGAGACACGGCCCAGACUCCUACGGGAGGCAGCAGCC